AUUGAACGCUGGCGGCAGGCUUAACACAUGCAAGUCGAGCGGGGGAAGGUAGCUUGCUACCGGACCUAGCGGCGGACGGGUGAGUAAUGCUUAGGAAUCUGCCUAUUAGUGGGGGACAACAUCUCGAAAGGGAUGCUAAUACCGCAUACGUCCUACGGGAGAAAGCAGGGGAUCUUCGGACCUUGCGCUAAUAGAUGAGCCUAAGUCGGAUUAGCUAGUUGGUGGGGUAAAGGCCUACCAAGGCGACGAUCUGUAGCGGGUCUGAGAGGAUGAUCCGCCACACUGGGACUGAGACACGGCCCAGACUCCUACGGGAGGCAGCAGUGGGGAAUAUUGGACAAUGGGGGGAACCCUGAUCCAGCCAUGCCGCGUGUGUGAAGAAGGCCUUAUGGUUGUAAAGCACUUUAAGCGAGGAGGAGGCUACUUUAGUUAAUACCUAGAGAUAGUGGACGUUACUCGCAGAAUAAGCACCGGCUAACUCUGUGCCAGCAGCCGCGGUAAUACAGAGGGUGCGAGCGUUAAUCGGAUUUACUGGGCGUAAAGCGUGCGUAGGCGGCUUAUUAAGUCGGAUGUGAAAUCCCCGAGCUUAACUUGGGAAUUGCAUUCGAUACUGGUGAGCUAGAGUAUGGGAGAGGAUGGUAGAAUUCCAGGUGUAGCGGUGAAAUGCGUAGAGAUCUGGAGG
rnacentral:rRNA from 1 species